rnacentral:misc_RNA from 1 species
GUAGGUGAACCUGCGGAAGGAUCAUUAACACGAAUUUUAUCCAAUAUCAAACCAAACGUGAACUUUUCCCCUCCCUAUUCAAGUGUUUAUCACUUGUUUAGGCUAAACACUUUUUUACUCUAUAUAUAAUAGUAUUAUACUAUUGUAUAUAUAGUUUUUAACCCCAUCAAUAACUUAACUCUAGUUUGGACGAGGUUUUCCUCUUCAACUACUAACACUAAAAAUAUCAUAUCUCUUAAUUGAGUAUGGUUUUUUUCGAUAUUACGAAAAUUAAGAACAACUCUUAACAAUGGAUAUCUUGGUUCUC